rnacentral:rRNA from 1 species
AUGUCUUCUGAUUCUUCUGUGUUGUCUUCUCUCCGACCUCUUGAUUCGCCUGUUAAUGUUCUUACCGCCGAUGGCACCCCUCUUUCUGUUGCUAGUCGAGGCCUUCUUUCCACUCCCUCCUUUUCUGUUCCUAGUGUCUCGCAUGUUCCUCAUCUUACCAUGAAUCUGUUUUCCGCUGCCCAACUUACUGAUUCUGGUUGUCGUGUCAUCCUUGAUGCCGACUCUUGCUCCAUUCAGGAUCGACGCACCAAGGCUUUGGUUGGUGCUGGCCCCCGGCGCCGUGAGUCAGAGGGCCUUUGA